CGAGAAUCUGUUCAUUUGUUAAACUAAUCCAUCCCGUCGUGGCGUCGUCCACCUGUCCGAGACACUAGUAGUACAAUACUAAUCACUUGCCCAAUGCCCCACCCCAUUCCCGUCUUACCUAGCGCUAGGGUUAGUACGCGUCCACGGCGACGACCUCUGCGCGGAGUGUGCUCCGAUUGGCUGGCCUCCUCGAUCCUCCUUCCCGCGAACGCACGCGCGCGCGAGGGAGAGGUUGAGACUUGAGAGAUAGACGAAAGACGAAACAAGGGAAGGAGACGCCGUGCUCGCCUAUUGGCCGCCGCCUCCGCUCCUUCGCGCCCAAUGGCUUCUGCAGCAUAUCAAUAUCAUGCAGCAUAGCAGUACUCAGACCCUUACUACGCAGGCGUUGUUGCUCCCUAUGGAAGUCAAGAUGUGUGUCCGAGGAGCCUGUCUAUGUGAACGCCAAGCAGUACCGCGGCAUUCUAAGACGGCGGCAGUCACGUGCCAAGGCCGAGCUUGAGAGAAAGCGCUGGUCAAAGCAAGAAAGCCGUAUCUUCACGAGUCCCCGUCAUCAGCACGCGAUGACGAGGAGGGCGAGAGGGAACGGUGGACGCUUCCUAAACACGAAGAAGAGUGACCGUGUCCCUCCUGAUGACUUGAUACAGCUACGACGACACAACGAGGCUUGAAGAGGUAGCGGUCUGGCUGGCAUCCUAGAGCAGCGGUUUCUGUCCACAGGCACGUGCAUCUGAGACCGGAUCCGUAGCUCCACUCCACAGCAUAUGCGCAGCCCAUCCAUCUCGUGCACACUUGUGUAGCUGCUGUGUUGUAACUUGUAAGUGGAAAACUGAGCUUGUGUCCGAUUGCUAUACACAACCUAAGUUUCCUGUGACCUAGCUCUGAUGUGGCUCUGAUUGAACUGCACCAAAUCAUAUGAAAUCCCUACAGAGUUCUCGUGGAAUUCAUAGGUCAACUUCUGUACCGCCGUACGUGCGUCCUUUUCGUCAGUUUCGUCGUAUUACCC